AUUGAACGCUGGCGGCAGGCCUAACACAUGCAAGUCGAACGAGUGGCGGACGGGUGAGUAAUGUCUGGGAAAUUGCCCGAUGGAGGGGGAUAACUACUGGAAAGGGUAGCUAAUACCGCAUACUAUCGGAUGUGCCUAGAUGGGCUUGGCUAGUAGGUGGGGUGACGGCUCACCUAGGCGACGAUGCCUAUCUGGUCUGAGAGGAUGACCAGCCACACUGGAACUGAGAGACGGUCCAGACUCCUACGGGCGGAAGCAGGGGGGCAUAUUGCACAAUGGGCGCAAGCCUGAUGCACCCAUGCCGCGUGUAUGAAGAAGGCCUUCGGGUUGUAAAGUACUUGCAGCGAGGAGGCGUUACUCGCAGAAGAAGCGCCGGCUAACUACGUGCCAGCAGCCGCGGUAAUUC
rnacentral:rRNA from 1 species